rnacentral:tRNA from 1 species
GAUAAGUUAGUUUAAUUAAUAAAAUGUUAGUUUGUGGAACUAAAGAUAGGAAAAAUUCUUACUUAUUU